rnacentral:tRNA from 3 species
GGGAUCAUAGCUCAUCUGGAUAGAGCAACGGCCUUCUAAGCCGUAGGUGGUGGGUUCGAGCCCCGCUGGUCCCA